GUGUACUGUGAGGUAUGCUGGAGGUAUCAGAAGUGCGAAUGCUGACAUAAGUAACGAUAAAGCGGGUGAAAAGCCCGCUCGCCGGAAGACCAAGGGUUCCUGUCCAACGUUAAUCGGGGCAGGGUGAGUCGACCCCUAAGGCGAGGCCGAAAGGCGUAGUCGAUGGGAAACAGGUUAAUAUUCCUGUACUUGGUGUUACUGCGAAGGGGGGACGGAGAAGGCUAUGUUGGCCGGGCGACGGUUGUCCCGGUUUAAGCGUGUAGGCUGGUUUUCCAGGCAAAUCCGGAAAAUCAAGGCUGAGGCGUGAUGACGAGGCACUACGGUGCUGAAGCAACAAAUGCCCUGCUUCCAGGAAAAGCCUCUAAGCAUCAGGUAACAUCAAAUCGUACCCCAAACCGACACAGGUGGUCAGGUAGAGAAUACCAAGGCGCUUGAGAGAACUCGGGUGAAGGAACUAGGCAAAAUGGUGCCGUAACUUCGGGAGAA
rnacentral:rRNA from 1 species